CUCAUCACAUGUUAACUAAAUGAGUCACUUCCAGUCCCCAAAUGCAACUCUCCUUCCACCCCAGCACAACAGUCACAUUUCUCAUAGAUGCAGAACCAAGCAAAACCUGUAAAAUGUUGCUGCUCCACAUCAUUAUUCUGGCUUUGGUUUUGUCUUAUGGAUGUGCACAAAUACAUCUGAGACAAGCUCAGUUGUCGAUUACCAGGGUAGAAACUAAAACUGCACGUAUAGACUGUGAGGCUUCUGGCAUUCAGAACUUCGGGAGUGCUGUUAUACACUGGUAUCGACACAGACCUGGAGAAGCUCCAGAGCGGAUUCUGUACAUCUCAUCUCAAAAAGUUGUAUUUGACAAAGGCUCUGAUAAGAACAAGUUUGAUUGUGAAAAUAACUCUGACCAGCCCAUCUCUACCCUAGUAGUAAAUGGAAUAACUGCUGAUGACAGAGCUAUCUAUUAUUGCGCUUAUUGGGAUGACACAGUGUUAGAAAGCCAUAGACAGCCUGUACAAAAACCUCACUUUGUAUUCUGAGCCACACAC